UACGUAGGGUGCGAGCGUUGUCCGGAAUUACUGGGCGUAAAGGGCUCGUAGGCGGCCAACUAAGUCGAACGUGAAAUCCCUCAGCUUAACUGGGGAACUGCGUCCGAUACUGAUUGGCUUGAAUCCGGAAGAGGGAUGCGGAAUUCCAGGUGUAGCGGUGAAAUGCGUAGAUAUCAGGAGGAACACCGGUGGCGAAGGCGGGUCUCUGGGCCGUAACUGACGCUGAGGAGCGAAAGCGUGGGGAGCGAACAGG
rnacentral:rRNA from 1 species